CUCUGGUUUGAGAGAAUAAUCAGGGCGCAAAGGAG
rnacentral:ncRNA from 1 species